AUCCUUUUGUAGUUCAUAAGCGUGAUGAUUGGGUUUUCAUGCACAUGCCUGAAAUGUGCCUCCCACAAAUCUUUUUUUUUUUCUCUCCCACCCCCUCCCACAAAUCUUGUUGCGACAUCGGCAGACAGAUUGCCUGUCUGACA
rnacentral:snoRNA from 1 species